AAAAUUUUAGUUUAAAUUUAAAAUUUUUCUUUUACACUGAAACGAUUAAAUUAAUUUUUGAAAUUUUA
rnacentral:tRNA from 1 species